rnacentral:rRNA from 1 species
UACAGAGGGUGCAAGCGUUGUUCGGAAUUAUUGGGCGUAAAGGGCGCGUAGGCGGUCGAGUAAGUUAGAUGUGAAAGCCCUGGGCUUAACCCAGGAACUGCAUUUGAUACUGCUCGACUAGAGUGCGGUAGAGGAUAGUGGAAUUCCCGGUGUAGAGGUGAAAUUCGUAGAGAUCGGGAGGAACACCAGUGGCGUAAGCGGCUAUCUGGGCCGCAACUGACGCUGAGGCGCGAAAGCGUGGGUAGCAAAC